rnacentral:lncRNA from 1 species
CAAAGUCCAUUCCCACGUGGCAGGAGCUGAGACAUGACACAUGUUACAGACUGGAUUUAGUUACCCAGCACGUUCGCAUCACUCUGCUCGCAGCCCAGCCUCCCUGGGACGCUGGGCAGCAGGGAAGCGCCUCUUAGCCCGAAGCCUUCGCAUGCAUCGAAGCAAGAAGCUGCAGCGGCAGGCAGAGCUGCUGCAGGGCCGUACGUACCCAGGCAGGGCCGAGGAGGAGCAGGAACAGGGUCCGGGUCAGUGUCCCUGACUCGCCAGGCAUCCCGAGGACUGGCAGGAGCGGGGAUCCAGCUACUCUCCGCCGCUCCUCCGGAGCCUCCCGUCUCUUUGGAACAAGUUGUACAUCAGCUUCUCUCUAAAUAUCCUCUGGAAGGGGCGGGCCCCGCGCUGAGUGACGGGCUGGAACCGAGCCCAAAAGGGUGCAACAAAAAAUGCCCAAAUUCCAGGGAACACGGGUGGAUUCCUGCGGCUCUGGCGGUAUGGGACUGCCACCGCUGCCUGCAGCUUGCCUACUUUCCAGUCCUUCUUCCUGUGAAAAGAAACCUUUUCAAGAGAGAACCAGCCCACCAUCUAUUCACUCCUCCUUGUUUAACUCCUGUGAAGAUCAGUGCAGACCUCAUGGAGGACAGAAUGCUCCCCAUCCUGCGCGUUACUUGGCUGCAUGAAUGUUUCUCAACACUCCUUCCCUUGCUUUGCUAGGCAAAAUAACACCUUUCUCCAAAGGAGCAAAACAGCUUGCCUGUGUGCCAGCUCCAGAUCCCUUCUGUCAGGCACCAAGCACCAGCAACUCCAGCAGGAAGAAGGAGAAGAUGGAAUCAAUAGUUUGCAGGAAGGACUUAGCACUUUUAAAACCAGAACUUCUCUUCCCUGUGUCUGAAUCCUUGUACUGCAGAGAUUUUUACGAGAACACCUUUUUAAGGUCCCCAGUAGCCACCAAAAUGUCCCCUGUUGGACCAUCAGAUAUAUCUGAUAUUCCACCCUGAAUAAUGACCAGGUCCUUUCCUAAAUUAGCACACAGAGAGGUGCCACUUAAAGAAAGAAGUCACACACCAAUUUUUGAAUUUGCAGGACUUAGAAAGUCAUGCUCCUGAAAUGCAGGGAACCUGGUGUUUUCCAAUCCCUACGUCACCUUUUAUUUACCUGCAGAGCCAGAGCCAGCCUGGGAGCUUGCUGGCCAUGGCAGAGCUUUUAUACCAAACAAACACCAGCACUUUUUGGUUUCAGUGACCAAACACCAAAGACACAAACUGCUUCCCUUGACACAAACACCAAAGCACACACAUGUGCCUUGCAGCCAAGACUCACUUUGAGGUCCUCAUGACUCAAAGAGGAGCACAAAGGAGCUCCAUUUGGUCUGGCUCAGCCUCCAGUCACGGAAACUCCUGUAUUUCCACUCCUUGUCACCUUUUCACUGUCUCCACAACCUUUAUUCUGCAGCUGAAAUAUGGAUUAGGGAACUGACCUGAAAUAAAAAUAACCUAACCGGAUGAAAAAAACA